ensembl:lncRNA
GUCAUGCAUGACUUGAUAUGUCAAUUUGAAAAUUACAGUACUCACAGAGGAUUGGCUCCCUGAGGAGCUGGCAGGAAUACAUAGAAAUACUAUGAUUACCCAGAAAUACUGCGUUUAGUAGAAAUAUUAUGUUUUAGCACAAAUACUAUAAAAUGGCUGAAAUAGUAUGAUUUAGCACAAAUGCUGUAUUUAGCACAAAUACUGAAAAGCAGCAGAAAUGCUAUGACUUAGCACAAUAGUAAUAACUGAAAUAGAAAAAUUGGAAAAGCAAAAUGAACAGCUGAAAAAAAUGCUGAACAUUCUAAGGCUCCCUCAAAUGUAAUUGUUGAAUGAAAAAAAAAUCAGCAAAAAAAAAGUAUAACAGUCACACAAUCAAAAAUAUGGACACAUAUGGAAACACACAUGCACAGAGAGACACAGGAUCAAAUUCAGUCAACCAGUCUAAAUAUAUUGAAUUUAAAUCAUACAAUAAGAUGCUCCCAUAAAAACGCUCUCUCGCCCUCUCUUUCUCUCUCUCUCUGUCACACACACACACACACACACACACACACACACACACACACACUAGCAGCAGCAGCAGCCAAAUAGCCUGGGAGCUGCUGAAUUUGAAUCCACCAAUCAGAGAGGCUGUAUACUUUUUCCCGCCAAAACAGGUGCAGCUGUUUUUACACACAUGCAGCACAGAGACAGGAUUUGUGCUGUCUAUUUUUCAUAGUGAGGAUUCCCCUCAAACAAAUGGCUAUAAUUUCCUAACCGUAGGGGCUAGAACAGUCAUUCUUACACCGUUUUGUUCAGAAGAGAUGGGGGGAUCUUAACGUAUUGACAAUUUAUCAUUACAAUAUGAAUUAUUGAAGAUAUUUGACUUCUAAUGUACCAUAACUGAGUAGAGGCAAAGCGAAAACUGCCUUGACAUGCCCUCAAACAAUGCUUUCUAACUCUAAAUCUAUUUGGAGUAUCGAUAUCAUUCUUUCACCGUAAGAGACAGCAGGCUUUGGUGAACAAUCAUGGAAAUUUUCAGGUCUGUGUGGAAAUCCAUCAAAAAGAUAUGACGAGAGAAAAAAGUGCCUCAUUUCCAGAGUUUGAAAUCUGAAGAAAUCUGAGCGAGGGAUGAAUUUCCUACCCUCAAACAAACCCAAUUCAUG